UAAUACGUAGGGGGCGAGCGUUGUCCGGAAUCAUUGGGCGUAAAGAGCGUGUAGGUGGCUUGGAAAGUCUUACGUGAAAGCCUGCGGCUCAACCGCAGAAGUGCGUAGGAAACUUCCUCGCUAGAGUCCGGAAGAGGAGAGCGGAAUUCCUGGUGUAGCGGUGGAAUGCGCAGAUAUCAGGAGGAACACCCGUGGCGAAGGCGGCUCUCUGGGACGGUACUGACACUGAGACGCGAAAGCGUGGGGAGCGAACAGGAUUAGAUACCCUGGUAGUCCACGCCGUAAACGAUGGGCGCUAGGUGUGGGAGGUGUCAACUCCUUCCGUGCCGAAGCUAACGCAUUAAGCGCCCCGCCUGGGGAGUACGGUCGCAAGACUA
rnacentral:rRNA from 1 species